rnacentral:rRNA from 1 species
UACGAAGGGGGCUAGCGUUGCUCGGAAUCACUGGGCGUAAAGGGUGCGUAGGCGGGUCUUUAAGUCAGGGGUGAAAUCCUGGAGCUCAACUCCAGAACUGCCUUUGAUACUGAAGAUCUUGAGUUCGGGAGAGGUGAGUGGAACUGCGAGUGUAGAGGUGAAAUUCGUAGAUAUUCGCAAGAACACCAGUGGCGAAGGCGGCUCACUGGCCCGAUACUGACGCUGAGGCACGAAAGCGUGGGAGCAACAGGGAU